rnacentral:tRNA from 1 species
GAGGGUAUAGCUCAGUGGUAGAGCACAUGCUUAGCAUGCACGAGGUCCUGGGUUCAAUCCUCAGGACCUUUA